UUCACGGAGAGUUUGAUCCUGGCUCAGGACGAACGCUGGCGGCGCGCUUAACACAUGCAAGUCGAGCGAGAACCGGGGCUUCGGCCCUGGGGACAGCGGCGAACGGGGGAGUAACACGUGGGUAAUCCACCCUCGGCACCGGGAUAGCCCGAGGAAACUCGGAUUAAUACCGGAUGGCCCCUCCGACUUUCGGGUCGGUCGGGAAAGGUAGCUUAGGCCUCUGGCCGGGGACGAGCCCGCGGCGGAUUAGCUUGUUGGUGGGGUAACGGCCUACCAAGGCAACGAUCCGUAGC
rnacentral:rRNA from 1 species